GAUGAACGCUGGCGGCGUGCCUAAUACAUGCAAGUCGAGCGAACGGACGAGAAGCUUGCUUCUCUGAUGUUAGCGGCGGACGGGUGAGUAACACGUGGAUAACCUACCUAUAAGACUGGGAUAACUUCGGGAAACCGGAGCUAAUACCGGAUAAUAUUUUGAACCGCAUGGUUCAAAAGUGAAAGACGGUCUUGCUGUCACUUAUAGAAGGAUCCGCGCUGCAUUAGCUAGUUGGUAAGGUAACGGCUUACCAAGGCAACGAUGCAUAGCCGACCUGAGAGGGUGAUCGGCCACCCUGGAGCUGAGACACGGUCCAGACUACUACGGGAGGCAGCAGUAGGGAAUCUUACGCAAUGGGCGAAAGCCUGACGGAGCAACGGCGCGUGAGAGAUGAAGGUCUUCGGAUCGUAAAACUCUGUUAUGAGGGAAGAACAGAUGUGUAAGUAACUGUGCACAUCUUGACGGUACCUAAUCAGAAAGCCACGGCUAACUACGUG
rnacentral:rRNA from 1 species